rnacentral:lncRNA from 1 species
AAAUGAAGCCUUCUCUGAACCAGUCCCAAGAAGUCUCAACUUUAAAGCAUUAACUCCCCCAAUGAACUUGCUUUCAUUUCAUCUUCUCAUAUGUCAUUGCAUUCUCAACAAACCAGAUCUAUAGGAUGGAUCAGUCGAAGCUUACAAAGAAAUCUAAUUAGGUAUGGAAUAUGAACUUUUUAUUUGAUAAAUAACUUAGCUGGAGAUACAUUGAGAGUUACUCUAUUAGAAUAAAA